GGGGGCGUAUUUCAAUGGCAGAAAAACGAUCUCAUAAAUCGUAAGUUGCCCGUUCGAAUCGGGCCGCCCCCACCA
rnacentral:tRNA from 1 species